UUUAAAUACAUCAUUUACAGAUGACAGCUUAGCGACAGACUCUUAAUGUGUUUAAACAGCACAUAUUCCAGCUCAACAGCAGAUUAAAGCAGCAGAAUCUGCGAUCAAGUGCAGGAAUCGACUGAAGAGACUCACUUGUUGUGUUUGGACUGUACAGCCAAGAGAAACGGAGCUCUGGGACAUUUGACAGCCAUGGACUGUAAGGACGGACGUCUGCUGCUGGACAGGGUCCCUCUUGUGGUCAUCAAGUGUAUCAAUCUUCAAGCAGAAGUGGCUGUCUGCUUUGCUCUGCUGCAGG